rnacentral:rRNA from 1 species
AGGAGUUAGUCAGAAGGGGUACAGCUCUUCUGAAAAAAGAAACAACUUUAGUAGGUGAAACAGGAUCAUAUCAACCAAGGACUAAGAUUUAAGUGGGCCUAAAAGCAGCCAUCUUUAAAGAAAGCGUUAAAGCUCCAACUAGCUUCCCCCCCCCCUUAUAUACUGAUAUCAAUACUCCUCCCCCCUACCACCUACCAGGCUGUCUUAUGCCCCCAUAAGAAUAAUUAUGCUAAAAUGAGUAAUAAGAAGAAAUACUUCUUCUCCCAGCAUGCGUGUAAGUCGAACCGGACCCCCCAUCGAUUAUUAUCCGACCCCAAUCCCAGAGGGCCCUAAGUUGAAAAAACAAGAAAAUCACUUAACCAAAAUCGUUAAUCUCACACAAGAGUGCAUCAAGGAAAGACUAAAAGGGAAGGAAGGAACUCGGCAAACUCAAGCCUCGCCUGUUUACCAAAAACAUCGCCUCUUGAUUUAUAAGUAUAAGAGGUCUCGCCUGCCCAGUGACUAAGUGUUAAACGGCCGUGGUAUCUUAACCAUGCGAAGGUAGCGUAAUCACUUGUCUUUUAAAUGAAGACCUGUAUGAAUGGCAAAACGAGGGCUUAACUGUCUCCCUUCCCCAGUCAAUGAAAUUGACCUCCCCGUGCAGAGGCGGGGAUAAUCCUAUAAGACGAGAAGACCCUGUGGAGCUUCAGACUUAAAAUAACCACAUUAAAUAAGCUCAAAGAUGAGAAAAAACCCAGUGGACUUUAUUUAAAUGUCUUUGGUUGGGGUGACCACGGGGUAAAACACAGCCCCCAUGAAGAUAGGGGAAAUAUCCCUAACACUAAGAGCCACCCCUCUAAGUAACAAAAUCUUUGACUUUAAAAAUGAUCCGGCUCAGCCGAUUAACGAACCCAGUUACCCCAGGGAUAACAGCGCAAUCCCCUCCCAGAGCCCCUAUCGACGAGGGGGUUUACGACCUCGAUGUUGGAUCAGGACAUCCUAAUGGUGCAGCCGCUA